rnacentral:rRNA from 1 species
AACGAACGCUGGCGGCAGGCCUAACACAUGCAAGUCGAGCGAACCUUUCGGGGUUAGCGGCGGACGGGUGAGUAACGCGUGGGAACGUGCCCUUCUCUACGGAAUAGCCCUGGGAAACUGGGAGUAAUACCGUAUACGCCCCUUGGGGGAAAGAUUUAUCGGAGAAGGAUCGGCCCGCGUUGGAUUAGGUAGUUGGUGGGGUAAUGGCCUACCAAGCCUACGAUCCAUAGCUGGUUUGAGAGGAUGAUCAGCCACACUGGGACUGAGACACGGCCCAGACUCCUACGGGAGGCAGCAGUGGGGAAUCUUAGACAAUGGGGGCAACCCUGAUCUAGCCAUGCCGCGUGAGUGAUGAAGGCCUUAGGGUUGUAAAGCUCUUUCAGCUGGGAAGAUAAUGACGGUACCAGCAGAAGAAGCCCCGGCUAACUCCGUGCCAG